rnacentral:rRNA from 1 species
UACGUAGGGUGCGAGCGUUGUCCGGAAUUAUUGGGCGUAAAGAGCUCGUAGGCGGCCUGUCGCGUCGGAUGUGAAAGCCCGGGGCUUAACCCCGGGUCUGCAUUCGAUACGGGCAGGCUAGAGUGUGGUAGGGGAGAUCGGAAUUCCUGGUGUAGCGGUGAAAUGCGCAGAUAUCAGGAGGAACACCAAUGGCGAAGGCAGAUCUCUGGGCCGUAACUGACGCUGAGGAGCGAAAGCAUGGGGAGCGAACAGG